ACUACCAUAACAGUGAUGUUUAAUCAGGAAGGAGGUCUGGUGACUAAUAAAGAUGAAGAAAUGGUCAGAGAAUGGAAAUGGCCUUGGGAUGGCAAGCUUGCCCAGCCAGUUAUAGCACAAGUUAAUGAAUACAUCACAGUGAGGAUUGCAGGGCGCUUUGCAAUUAGCUUGGUCGACAAGUGGCAACAUGAAAGUGUGUGCUUGUCUUUGUCACCGCUGCAGGGUGCGGCUCUUCCACAAUUAGAGGAAUCAGAACAAGCUGCGGGGCACACCUCAGGCUGCUCGUCCUGCUGGGCUUCGAGGAAUUAUGGUGGAAGGGGAGACAUGCAGGUGCAGUAGUCAUCGGAUUCCCUACGUGUCAGACCUGGAGUAUGAUCACCUCAUUAGCA